rnacentral:lncRNA from 1 species
AAAGCAAGCAACUAACUAAAGUGUUGAUCUACUUACAUUAGGAAAUUAGCUGUAAUCUUCAGUGAGAUCAGGCAAAAUGUUUACCAUUACUUCUUAAGACAAUUUGAAAUAAAACAAAUGACAAACGACAAUGACCCUUUGUCAUAAUUAUAAGAUUUUGUCAAAUAAGCAGUAUAAAUAAUUAUUAAAUUCAUUGCAAGAUCUGACAUUAUUUUACGAUAAUCAUCCAGACAUCAGUUACAUGCAUACGUUGCCAGUAUGUCAAAACUUCUAGGAAUAAUUUUUUAUCGGCCUGACCUUCUGAAUACUCAAUUUUUGAAAAUUUUGAAAAAUUGACAUUAAAAUUAAAAGGAUCAAAUCAUAGGGAACAUGUGUACUAAGUUUUAAGUUGAUAUGACUUCAACUUCCAUCAAAAACUACCUUGACCAAAAACUUAAACCUGAAGCGGGACAGACGGAAGAACGAACGAACGGAUGCACAGACCAGAAAACAUAAAUUGGACAUUAAAAAAAACCGGCACCCUGUACACAAUCGGCGCAAAUGAAAGACAAAAUCUACACAAUUGAAAGAAUAAAAAAAAUGAAAUGCAGAUCGGCGGAAAUAUAAGACAAAAUCUACGCAUGUGAAAGAAUAAAAAAAAUGAAAUGCAGAUCGGCGCAAAAAAGUCGAGAUCAAAAUUUAUAUUUUAUUGUUUUUAUCAGAACGAAGGUUAAAUAUAGUGGAGUAUCUCUU